GAAUUCACUAGUGAUUCAGGCCUAACACAUGCAAGUCGAGCGAUUCUCUUCGGAGAAGAGCGGCGGACGGGUGAGUAACGCGUGGGUAACCUGCCCUGUACACACGGAUAACAUACCGAAAGGUAUGCUAAUACGAGAUAACAUACUUUUAUCGCAUGGUAGAAGUAUCAAAGCCCCGGCGGUACAGGAUGGACCCGCGUCUGAUUAGCUAGUUGGUAAGGUAACGGCUUACCAAGGCGACGAUCAGUAGCCGACCUGAGAGGGUGAUCGGCCACAUUGGAACUGAGACACGGUCCAAACUCCUACGGGAGGCAGCAGUGGGGAAUAUUGCACAAUGGGCGAAAGCCUGAUGCAGCAACGCCGCGUGAGCGAUAAGGGCCUUCGGGUCGUAAAGCUCGUCCUCAAGGAAGAUAAUGAC
rnacentral:rRNA from 1 species